rnacentral:lncRNA from 1 species
GUAUAUCUCCAGUUAAAUCCCAUGAAUGAUAUUGAUAGAACUUUCAAAUAAAUAAUAUAAACCGUUGAACGUGAUUUACCACGAAUACAUCUCGAAUCCAACCACAUGAUGUGGUAUCACCUACCAUAGGAGCCUGAUAUGGAUUAGUCCAGGAGCCCAUUACUUCAACCAACCACUUCCUGCUGUGUAACCAUCCCAAGAGCACAAGGAGAAAUCCCAAUCCUUCCAAUCCGCAAUAGUUGACCCACA